rfam:Brevibacillus choshinensis strain DSM 8552 super29, whole genome shotgun sequence.
GGCGGCGUAGCUCAGCUGGUUAGAGCGUUCGGUUCAUACCCGAAAGGUCGGGGGUUCGAUUCCCUCCACCGCUA